GCCGGAGUGGCGGAACAGGCAGACGCCAGGGACUUAAAAUCCCUUGGGCUCUCAAGGCCCGUACCGGUUCGAGUCCGGUCUCCGGCA
rnacentral:tRNA from 1 species